rnacentral:misc_RNA from 1 species
UCUCUCUGUUCAUUUCCGCGUAUUCCGCUCCAUCUUUUCACUCUCUCUGUCUCUUACUCUUUGUUUUGCUAAAAAGCCUGCACACCCUCUUUCUGUCUGAUACAAGUUGGAGCGGAGCGCUCAGUGAACCCAAAAUUGCUCAUUUCCUGGCUCUAAAGCAAUUCAUGAAGCAGCUAAUCCGCCGCUUCUCUCGAGUCGCCGACUCUUCCCAGUACAGCCUUCUGCGUUCCGAUUCACAGUCCCGCAUAUGCUCCGCUUCGAGGUCGGCGCGCAGAGCGGAGUCCUUUCGGUGUUUGGUGAAGCCGGCCCGGCGUGCCGGUGGAGGAAAGUCCGUGCCUGAGGGUCAUGUUCCUGUGUACGUCGGAGACGAGAUGGAGCGGUUUGUGGUGAGCGCGGAGCUGCCGAACCACCCGAUCCUCCUCGAGCNNNNNNNNNNNUACGAUCAAAAAGGAGUGUUGAGGAUUCCUUGUCACGUGCUGGUUUUUGAGCAAAUCACGGAAGCGCUUCGACUCGGCCUUGAGUCACGUGACCUGGAAGACCUCCUGGGUUCAUUAUUCACCGAUGACUACUUGUAAAAAUUAGUCCUUGAUUUCUCUUUCUUUUUUGGCGAGAUCCUUGAUUUAUAUAUACAGAGGAAAAUCAAGAGAUCUUUUUAGUUUUGUUUUCCUGCUGUAAAUAUGCUUUUUGUGUUAUGAUGAAUGAUCACAGUCACCUGAAGGUUAAAAGAGUUGUUUUUUUUCCUAUG